rnacentral:rRNA from 1 species
UACGGAGGGGGCUAGCGUUAUUCGGAAUUACUGGGCGUAAAGCGCGCGCAGGUGGCGUGGCAAGUGGUAGGUGAAAGCCCUCGGCUCAACCGAGGAACUGCCUACCAAACUGCUGCGCUUGAGGCUGGGAGGGGGAAGCGGAAUUCCUGGUGUAGCGGUGAAAUGCGUAGAUACCAGGAGGAACACCGGUGGCGAAGGCGGCUUCCUGGACCAGUUCUGACACUCAUGCGCGAAAGCGUGGGGAGCAAACAGG